UGCAGCGACGCCGCGUGAGGGAUGACGGCCUUCGGGUUGUAAACCUCUUUCAGCAGGGAAGAAGCGAAAGUGACGGUACCUGCAGAAGAAGCGCCGGCUAACUACGUGCCAGCAGCCGCGGUAAUACGUAGGGCGCAAGCGUUGUCCGGAAUUAUUGGGCGUAAAGAGCUCGUAGGCGGUUUGUCGCGUCUGCUGUGAAAACCUGAGGCUCAACCUCGGGCUUGCAGUGGGUACGGGCAGACUAGAGUGCGGUAGGGGUGACUGGAAUUCCUGGUGUAGCGGUGGAAUGCGCAGAUAUCAGGAGGAACACCGAUGGCGAAGGCAGGUCACUGGGCCGCAACUGACGCUGAGGAGCGAAAGCAUGGGGAGCGAACAGGAUUAGAUACCCUGGUAGUCCAUGCCGUAAACGUUGGGCACUAGGUGUGGGGCUCAUUCCACGAGUUCCGUGCCGCAGCAAACGCAUUAAGUGCCCCGCCUGGGGAGUACGGCCGCAAGGCUAAAACUCAAAGAAAUUGACGGGGGCCCGCACAAGCGGCGGAGCAUGCGGAUUAAUUCGAUGCAACGCGAAGAACCUUACCAAGGCUUGACAUACACCGGAAACUUCCAGAGAUGGUUGCCCCGCAGGUC
rnacentral:rRNA from 1 species